rnacentral:rRNA from 1 species
CCUACGGGAGGCAGCAGUGAGGAAUAUUGGUCAAUGGACGCAAGUCUGAACCAGCCAAGUAGCGUGCAGGAUGACGGCCCUCCGGGUUGUAAACUGCUUUUAGUUGGGAAUAAAAGGGGGCUCGUGAGCCCUGUAUUGUAUGUACCAUCAGAAAAAGGACCGGCUAAUUCCGUGCCAGCAGCCGCGGUAAUACGGAAGGUCCGGGCGUUAUCCGGAUUUAUUGGGUUUAAAGGGAGCGUAGGCCGGCUUUUAAGUCAGCUGUGAAAGUCCGCGGCUCAACCGUGGAAUUGCAGUUGAAACUGGAGGCCUUGAGUGCACACAGGGAUGCCGGAAUUCAUGGUGUAGCGGUGAAAUGCUUAGAUAUCAUGAAGAACUCCGAUCGCGAAGGCAAGUGUCCGGGGUGCAACUGACGCUGAGGCUCGAAAGUGCGGGUAUCAAA